rnacentral:rRNA from 1 species
UACAGAGGUCCCAAGCGUUGUUCGGAUUCACUGGGCGUAAAGGGUGCGUAGGCGGUCGGGUAAGUCUGACGUGAAAUCUCCAAGCUCAACUUGGAAAUGGCGUCGGAUACUAUUCGGCUCGAGGAAUGGAGGGGAGACUGGAAUUCUCGGUGUAGCAGUGAAAUGCGUAGAUAUCGAGAGGAACACCAGUGGCGAAGGCGAGUCCCUGGACAUCUCCUGACGCUGAGGCACGAAAGCCAGGGGAGCAAACGGG